UGUGUGUGUGUGUGUCGGAGCGGCUGAAUGCGGGGCCGUGGCGCUGUCUGAGACGCUCUACUAUUCUCACAGUGAACCGGUCUCUUUUCCAGCCGCUCACACUCGACCAGAAGACCA
rnacentral:pre_miRNA from 8 species